rnacentral:rRNA from 1 species
AGUGAACGCUGGCGGUAGGCCUAACACAUGCAAGUCGAACGGCAGCACAGUAAGAGCUUGCUCUUACGGGUGGCGAGUGGCGGACGGGUGAGGAAUACAUCGGAAUCUACUUUUUCGUGGGGGAUAACGUAGGGAAACUUACGCUAAUACCGCAUACGACCUACGGGUGGAAGCAGUGGAUCUUCGGACCUUGCGCGAUUGAAUGAGCCGAUGUCGGAUUAGCUAGUUGGCGGGGUAAAGGCCCACCAAGGCGACGAUCCGUAGCUGGUCUGAGAGGAUGAUCAGCCACACUGGAACUGAGACACGGUCCAGACUCCUACGGGAGGCAGCAGUGGGGAAUAUUGGACAAUGGGCGCAAGCCUGAUCCAGCCAUACCGCGUGGGUGAAGAAGGCCUUCGGGUUGUAAAGCCCUUUUGUUGGGAAAGAAAAGCAGCAGGUUAAUACCCCGCUGUUCUGACGGUACCCAAAGAAUAAGCACCGGCUAACUUCGUG